CUUCCCGCGUCCAGAGAAUACAGAAACACAAUUUCCUUUUACCCCAAAAUCCCCAUUUCAGCACCAACCCACGUCAUUCUCCACUGCCGUCGCCGCUCCGUCACGGUUGCUUCGCCGGCGCUCCUCAACACACACACUCUCUCAACCAUAAACCCUACUCCGACGCCUUACUCAAACCAAGGGUUUUCAGCGAGGGAUGACAGACAGGAGCACGUAAUUUGAAAACCCUUAUCGUCGCUGGUUCCAAAGUUCCCUUCGCCAUUGUCGCUGGUUCUACUUGCUGUCGCUGCUAGCUCGUGCUUAUCCAAUGGCCUGGUGAGGGCCUAUCAUUUUCUAUUGCGGCCGUGUUGAACACGAGGGCGUUGCAAACAUUUGAAUCUCUUGAUGCUAACACUUACAGAAUUCAUAACAGAAAGGAGUUGAAGAAGAGAUUGAGCAACAGAUUCCAUUUACACUAUCAUAAGUAUUGGUAGAGCUUAAGACUUCCAGAAAAGCUAUUCAAGUUGGCACCCACCUAAGCCUGGAUUGAAGCGUAUUUCUCAGGUUUUUAGGGAAAACUACAACAAGCCUUGGCUGAGUUUUGAUGAGGCAGAUGAUGAUACUCGAAAAAUAUGGUGGACUGAGUGGAGGAAAUGCUUUGACAUUAUUGAUACGAAGGAGGAUGAUAUUUAUCAAGCUUGGAGGGAUAGG